GCCCCUAUAGCUCAGCUGGCAGAGCAACUGAUUUGUAAUCAGUAGGUCGGGAGUUCGAAUCUCUCUGGGGGCACCA
rnacentral:tRNA from 1 species